UACACUUCGCUAAUUUGGGCCUUUUACCCAAGUUCAAUUAAAAAAGCCCAAAUUAAACGGCCAACCCAUCCCCGAGAAGCCCUCAACAUUCUCCAUAUAUUCAUGUCCCUUACGAUUAGGGUUUGCUCAUUUGCCACACCAUUUUGAUCCCCUUUCCUUUCACCUAAUAAACUGAAAUGCUCUCGCCUUGGAUGAUUCAACAUCUUUGCCUCCUUAUCUGGGUCAUUAACAAUGUUGCUUUAAUCUUGGAUCGAGUUUGUUCCUCAUUUAAUCUGAGAUCUCAAUUCAGGUGGAAGGUUGUCGUUUAAAUAGAUGGACAAAUGAAAAUCAUAGUUGAAGGAGCUUUUCAUGAGGCAAGUGAUUCAAAAUCCUCAGGAUCUGAGCUCACGCGACAACAAGAGGAGGAAUGUUAUCAAGUUCAAGGAGAAAGCUUAAAUAAAUAUCUUCCAUUGUAAAUACUACACUACUUGUUGAUGAUGAUCAAGUUUUGAAUCAACACAACAUGUCAAGUAGUCGUACUCAAAGGAGACGAAGGUAGGUGAGGGAGAGGAAGAGGAAGAGGAAGAGGAAGAAGAGGAAGUUUUCAAAAUAAUGCUAAUGUUUAUAAUUUUCUAGAUCCAUCUAGAGUUAGUAAUGUUGUUGGUCAACAUCCAGGAAGUUUAACCAUUCCUCUUCUUUUAGGGCAAAGCUACUCAACAUAAUCAACAGGUACAAUUGAAAUAUACUUUAUGGAUUAGUCACGAUCCUAACUUGUUUGGGACCGAGGCGCAUGUAAUUGUAGUUGUUAUAUGAACUUUUUUUUGAACAAACUACAAUGAAAAUUACAAUUAUAAUUGACAUAAUUAGAUAACGAAAACCAGACAAGAAGUUCAAGUGCUCCUCUUCUUUCAGGAAAAGCUACUCAAC